rnacentral:rRNA from 1 species
GACGAACGCUGGCGGCGUGCUUAACACAUGCAAGUCGAACGGAAAGGCCCUGCUUUUGUGGGGUGCUCGAGUGGCGAACGGGUGAGUAACACGUGAGUAACCUGCCCUUGACUUUGGGAUAACUUCAGGAAACUGGGGCUAAUACCGGAUAGGAGCUCCUGCUGCAUGGUGGGGGUUGGAAAGUUUCGGCGGUUGGGGAUGGACUCGCGGCUUAUCAGCUUGUUGGUGGGGUAGUGGCUUACCAAGGCUUUGACGGGUAGCCGGCCUGAGAGGCUGACCGGCCACAUUGGGACUGAGAUACGGCCCAGACUCCUACGGGAGGCAGCAGUGGGGAAUAUUGCACAAUGGGCGGAAGCCUGAUGCAGCAACGCCGCGUGCGGGAUGACGGCCUUCGGGUUGUAAACCGCUUUCGCCUGUGACGAAGCGUGAGUGACGGUAACGGGUAAAGAAGCACCGGCUAACUACGUG